AGCGAACGCUGGCGGCAGGCCUAACACAUGCAAGUCGAACGAACUCUUCGGAGUUAGUGGCGGACGGGUGAGUAACACGUGGGAACGUGCCUUUAGGUUCGGAAUAACUCAGGGAAACUUGUGCUAAUACCGAAUGUGCCCUUCGGUGGAAAGAUUUAUCGCCUUUAGAGCGGCCCGCGUCUGAUUAGCUAGUUGGUGAGGUAAAGGCUCACCAAGGCGACGAUCAGUAGCUGGUCUGAGAGGAUGAUCAGCCACAUUGGGACUGAGACACGGCCCAAACUCCUACGGGAGGCAGCAGUGGGGAAUCUUGCGCAAUGGGCGAAAGCCUGACGCAGCCAUGCCGCGUGAAUGAUGAAGGUCUUAGGAUUGUAAAAUUCUUUCACCGGGGACGAUAAUGACGGUACCCGGAGAAGAAGCCCCGGCUAACUUCGUG
rnacentral:rRNA from 1 species